AGCUUUGCACAGUGACAGUGUUGUAGCCAGUGAGGUUUAUCUGAGGUGUGAUUAUUGCUAAUUGAAAACUUUUCCCAGUACCCCACCAUGACGACUUGCAAUAUAGUCACCAUUGGCAAUUAUGAUGGUCCCUAUGGGGA